UUCCUGGUGGUCCAGUGGUUAAGACUCUGCCCUUUCACUGCAGGGGGCUUGGGUUCAAUCCCUAGUCUGGGAA
rnacentral:tRNA from 1 species